rnacentral:lncRNA from 1 species
GGAGAAUGUUCAGGACUGUCGAGGCGCGCUCCGCACCUGGCCUGAAAGCGGGAGAUUUGGCAACCAGUGCGCGUGGGUGCGCCGGCCCUUGCAGCUGGGGACUCUGGAGGCAGACCUUGCCCAAAGCCAGAGGCAGGAACUCCCCAGAUCCUCCCAGGGUAGCAUGGGAGGAUGCCGCCUCCUCCAGGAAGCUCUCUAGCGCUUUUCCGAGUCCUGGAGCCAGGCGGGACUUCUCUGUGGUCGCCUAGAAGGGUAUGAACUUAGGGCAUCCCCAUCUGGGCUGUGAAGGUUUCUGACUUGGGGACCAGGUGCUCAGACCUUCCUGGAUGCUGCUUUCCACAAUAUCUCUACCAGGCAGGCAGGUUCUCUUCAUUUUGCAAAUUUGGUGAAACAGCAUUUGUAAAACUUUAGAAGCUUCCUUGGCUCACACAGGUGGUAGUGGCCCUGUCAGGAUUUGACCCAGGCUCUCGGAUUCCAGAGUUCCUGAAUUUAACCACCUGUACUGUGAUGCCUCCUUAUCAUGUGUGCAUCGUGCAUUACUAUUUUUUAUAGCCUGUAGGGUACUGAGCACCAUGCACACCUACAGUGAUCACAGGCACUGCCUACUGGAAGGUCUUCUUUGGCUGGGUUCCAGUUUCCUCAGACGAUGUAGGGCAGGGAGUUCCACUUGUUAGCAUAUCCCACAGGGCCUUUCUCUUCAAAUGGACCCCAGCAGCCAACCACACAGCUGCCUCAGCAAGCGUAGGAGAUGGCACAUCAGAGACCAACAAUUGUCAGCACAGCAAAACUGGGCAUUUCUUUUCUUACUGAGCUUUGCAGCUACCUACACAGUUGUGUGUGGCAUCUCCUCCUGGGUGCAAGGACAUGAGAUGACAUCAGCUACGAGCCUAUAUCCUUCAACCCUUGGAAGCCACUGAUCUGCUUUCUGUUUCUAUGGAUCCCCUGUUCUGGACAUUUCAUAUAAAUGGAACUGUAUGAUAUAUGGUCUUUUGUGUCUGGCUUUUUUCACUUGGCAUAAUGUUUUCAAGAUUCAUCCAUGUUGUAGCAUGGGUGUUUUUAUGGCUAAAUAAUAUGUGUUUUUAUGACCAAAUAACAUUCUAUUAUAUGGAUGUACCGCUUUUGUUUACCCAUUAAUCACCUGGGCAUUUGGAUUGUUUCUACCUUUUAGCCAUUAUGAAUAAUGCUGCAAACACUCAUAUAC